UACGUAGGGGCCGAGCGUUGUCCGGAGUUAUUGGGCGUAAAGCGCGCGCAGGCGGCCUCGCGCGCCCGACGUGAAAGCCCCCGGCUUAACCGGGGAGGGUCGUUGGGGACGGCGGGGCUUGAGGGCGGGAGAGGGCGGUGGAAUUCCCGGUGUAGUGGUGAAAUGCGUAGAGAUCGGGAGGAACACCUGUGGCGAAGGCGGCCGUCUGGGCCGACCCUGACGCUGAGGCGCGAAAGCGUGGGGAGCAAACAGG
rnacentral:rRNA from 1 species